rnacentral:rRNA from 1 species
UACGUAGGGUGCGAGCGUUGUCCGGAAUUACUGGGCGUAAAGGGCUCGUAGGUGGCCAACUAAGUCAGACGUGAAAUCCCUCAGCUUAACUGGGGAACUGCGUCUGAUACUGGAUGGCUUGAGUUUGGGAGAGGGAUGCGGAAUUCCAGGUGUAGCGGUGAAAUGCGUUGAGAUCGGAAGGAACGCCCGUGGCGAAAGCGAGUCCCUGGACGUCGGCUGACGCUGAGACGCGAAAGCCAGGGGAGCGAACGGG